CCAACACACUUCACCGCGUCUGUCUGGGGAAGGUCAGGGAAGGGACACGAGGCGGCGCUGUCACCGUAUUCUGUGAGCCGCAGCGCCCUGGGCACCGCUGACCUUGUAUCAUUUCAGCGAACGUCGCUGUAGUCUUUGAUGGGGCCACACUCGGGGUGUAAAUUAGAAUCCUCACUGAAGUGGCGGGACCCUGGGAGGCUUUUUCCUGGCCUCUUAGUUGUGAGUUUUCCUGCGGGCGGCAGAGCCCGUUUCCAUCAGAACCGCCCAGAGGCGGGCGCUGCCUUCCGGGGGUGGCGGAGCAGCUGGAAGCGUUUAUGGAUGCUAGAAUCCAUGGGCGGCCCGUGGAAGGGGCUGAAGCUCAUUUUCCUACUCACCCGGCUCCAAAUCCUCCGCGGUGCUGUUUCAAGAGAGUCAGAUUUCAGAUCGCGCUCCAGCCGGUACUCGGAAUUCCUGCCCCGCGGGUCUGCAUUUCACAGCGGCAGGUGUGAGUGACCCGCAGCUGUACACCAGAAGCCUGAAGGCAGCUCCGCCCUCCCCAGCCCACAGAGCCGUUAUUCAGUUUCUAUAUCAGUAAACACAUUUCAUUUUCCGUAGCCCAGGGCGGGGUGACGGGUGAUGCCAGUCCUCGCAGUGAACUCCGGGCCCCAGACUUGAAAACGCAUGCGGGCGCCCAGCGCAGCCCUGUCCUGAGUCAGCAAGCGACCGCGCUGGGCCGUUUCUCUUUCUUUUCCGGACCCAGCAGUGGCGCCUAAAGUCUAUGAGGAGAAAAUCGCCUGUGUGCUGCCGUAGGAGUAGAGAAGGAACAAAGAAAUCUAUAAUUGGUCGUGAACUUUCUAUUUAGCAUGUGGCCCCGCCCUCCCCGCUUAUGAUUGGUCCUAGGAUCCAGGCGUCCACUUUCAUUGGAGCAUGGGAACCUACAGGCCUGGAUCAACACCUGGUUGGGACAGGAGACCACCAGGGCAGUGCACAGCUGGGAUUUCAGUCUCCCGUGUCAUCUCCUGGGUCCACUGGCUCCACUGAGGGCGGCUAGACUCUGCAGCCAGGCAGCCUGGAUUCAACUCCCUGCCUGGGUCUCACCAGCACUUUCCCUCUUGGUGCCUCAGUUUCCUCAUCUAUGAAAUAGGGAAACUAACAGCAUUUAUUUAUUGUGGUUGGAUGAAUGAAAAGGUGGUCCUGAUACUGUGAGUCAGCAUGUGCAGCGUGUGUCAUUCCUUCACCUAAAACACUCCAGUGGCUCCGUGUUGGUCUUGUGAGGCUUCUAGGUUGUCAGUUUCCAAUGGUCAGGAAUCCAGGAGAAGUUUCCCUGAGUGCUUCUGGCUCAGGGCCUCUCACAAGGUUGCAGUCCGGUUGUCAGCCUAGGCCUGCAUCAUCGAAGGGCUUCACUGAGGAUUCACAUGAAACAUGGCUCAGUCACAUGGCUGUUGGAAAAGGCCUAGUUCCUUGUUGUCUGGUCCCAGAAGUCUGCAGUUCUUAGCCACAUGGACCUUCCUUCAGGGCUGCUUACAGCACAGCAGCUGGCUUCCCCCAGAGCUCAUGAUCCCAGAGAGAGAGAGAGAGAGAGAAGGGGGAAACCACAGUGUGUUUUAUUUUCUACCCCCAGAGUCACAAACUGUUAUGUCAGCAUUACUCUAUCAGUUAGAAGUUGUAUUAGUCCAUUCUCACACUGCUAUAAAGAAAUAACUGAGACUGCAUAAUUUAUAAAGGAGAUUUAA